CGCGUAGGCGGCCAUGCAAGUCUGGAGUGGAAGUCCACUUUUCAAGGGUGGAAUUGCUUUGGAAACUGCGUGGCUGGAGUGCAGGAGAGGUUAUCGGAAUUCCCGGUGUAGCGGUGAAAUGCGUAGAGAUCGGGAGGAACACCAGUGGCGAAGGCGGGUAACUGGACUGCAACUGACGCUGAGGCGCGAAAGUGUGGGGAGCAAACA
rnacentral:rRNA from 1 species